rnacentral:rRNA from 1 species
AACGAACGCUGGCGGCAGGCCUAACACAUGCAAGUCGAGCGAGGACUUCGGUUCUAGCGGCGGACGGGUGAGUAACGCGUGGGAAUGUGCCCUUCUCUACGGAAUAGCCCUGGGAAACUGGGAGUAAUACCGUAUACGCCCUAUUGGGGAAAGAUUUAUCGGAGAAGGAUCAGCCCGCGUUGGAUUAGGUAGUUGGUGGGUAAUGGCCUACCAAGCCGACGAUCCAUAGCUGGUUUGAGAGGAUGAUCAGCCACACUGGGACUGAGACACGGCCCAGACUCCUACGGGAGGCAGCAGUGGGGAAUCUUAGACAAUGGGGGCAACCCUGAUCUAGCCAUGCCGCGUGAGUGAUGAAGGCCUUAGGGUUGUAAAGCUCUUUCAGCUGGGAAGAUAAUGACGGUACCAGCAGAAGAAGCCCCGGCUAACUCCGUG